AAAAAAUAGAACAAGGUUUUGGCUAUAGUUCAUUUUAUGUAAUGGUUAAUGUAAUAUAAUUUAUUUUAUGUAAUAUGCCUAAUGAAUUUUUAUUAGUAAAAACUUCUUUAAUUCAUUCAGCUCCUCCAAAAUUUGAAAGUCUGUGAUUCAAAAUUUCGCUUUUCCCAAAACAAAGUUAAAGAAAAUAUAUGAAGUCAAUGAUAAAUCUUAAAGUUUUACAAAGAGUAAUAAAUAGAAGUUAUUAAAUGUUGGUGGCUCCUCAUGCAAUGCAUUUGAGAAGGGCAUGCUUUCAAAGUUAAGAUUGCUUUCCUGAUUCCUACAGCAA
rnacentral:lncRNA from 1 species